rnacentral:rRNA from 1 species
UACGUAGGGUGCGAGCGUUGUCCGGAAUUAUUGGGCGUAAAGGGCUCGUAGGCGGUCUGUCGCGUCGGCUGUGAAAACCCGGAGCUCAACUCCGGGCCUGCAGUCGAUACGGGCAAACUGGAGUGUUGCAGGGGAGACUGGAAUUCCUGGUGUAGCGGUGAAAUGCGUUGAUAUCGAUAGGAACUCCGGUGGCGAAGGCGGCAUACUGGACCACCACUGACGCUGAUGCGCGAAAGCCAGGGGAGCAAACGGG